rnacentral:rRNA from 1 species
AGCGUACAAGGUGGAUGCCUUGGCAAUCAGAGGCGAAGAAGGACGUGCUAAUCUGCGAAAAGCUUGGAUGAGUCGAUAAGAGGCGUUUAAUCCAAGAUAUCCGAAUGGGGAAACCCAGUAGAUGAAGAAUCUACUAUCAACAAGUGAAUUCAUAGCUUGUUGAGGCAAACCGGGAGAACUGAAACAUCUAAGUACCCCGAGGAAAAGAAAUCAACCGAGAUUUCGUCAGUAGCGGCGAGCGAAAGCGAAAGAGCCAGUAAGUGAUAACAGUAUGGUUAGGAGAAUGUGUUGGGAAGCACAAUCAAAGAGGGUGAUAAUCCCGUAUCUUAAAACCAUAUUGUGGUACUAAGCUAACGAGAAGUAGGGCGGGACACGUGAUAUCCUGUUUGAAGAUGGGGGGACCAUCCUCCAAGGCUAAAUACUCCUGAUUGACCGAUAGUGAACCAGUACUGUGAAGGAAAGGCGAAAAGAACCCCGGUGAGGGGAGUGAAAUAGAACCUGAAACCUUGUACGUACAAGCAGUGGGAGCCUGAAAGGGUGACUGCGUACCUUUUGUAUAAUGGGUCAGCGACUUAUAUUUUGUAGCGAGGUUAACCGAAUAGGGGAGCCGAAGGGAAACCGAGUCUUAACUGGGCGACGAGUUGCAAGGUAUAGACCCGAAACCCGGUGAUCUAGCCAUGGGCAGGUUGAAGGUUGGGUAACACUAACUGGAGGACCGAACCGACUAAUGUUGAAAAAUUAGCGGAUGACUUGUGGCUGGGGGUGAAAGGCCAAUCAAACCGGGAGAUAGCUGGUUCUCCCCGAAAUCUAUUUAGGUAGAGCCUUGAGGUGACACCUUUGGGGGUAGAGCACUGUUUCGGCUAGGGGUCCAUCCCGGAUUACCAACCCGAUGCAAACUACGAAUACCAAAGAGUGAUACUCAGGAGACACACGGCGGGUGCUAACGUUCGUCGUGGAGAGGGAAACAACCCAGACCGCCAGCUAAGGUCCCCAAGUCUAUAUUAAGUGGGAAACGAAGUGGGAAGGCUUAGACAGCUAGGAUGUUGGCUUAGAAGCAGCCAUCAUUUAAAGAAAGCGUAAUAGCUCACUAGUCGAGUCGGCCUGCGCGGAAGAUGUAACGGGGCUGAAAUAUAGCACCGAAGCUGCGGCAUCAGGCGUAUCACUAAUACGCCUUACGAUUAACAACAUGGAAUGGCGCGAAGCGGCAUGAAAGGUUGUUCAAGCAACCCGAACGUUGAGUCGGGGUAUUUUUGAAGUAAGGAUUAUUAGUGAUACGCCUGUUGGGUAGGGGAGCGUUGUGUAAGCGGAUGAAGGUUAAUCGAGAGGUUAGCUGGACGUAUCACAAGUGCGAAUGCUGACAUAAGUAACGAUAAAACGAGUGAAAAACUCGUUCGCCGGAAGACCAAGGGUUCCUGUCCAACGUUAAUCGGGGCAGGGUGAGUCGGCCCCUAAGGCGAGGCUGAAAAGCGUAGUCGAUGGGAAACAGGUUAAUAUUCCUGUACUUGGUAAAGCUGCGAUGUGGGGACGGAGUAGGUUAGGUUAGCGUGCUGUUGGAUAUGCACGUUUAAGUUGGUAGGUGGGAAGUUUAGGCAAAUCCGGACUUCCUUAACACAGAGAGAUGAUGACGAGGCUCUACGGAGCUGAAGUAACUGAUACCACACUUCCAGGAAAAGCCACUAAGCGACAGGUUUUACUAAACCGUACUGAAAACCGACACAGGUGGUCAGGUAGAGAAUACUCAGGCGCUUGAGAGAACUCGGGUGAAGGAACUAGGCAAAAUAGCACCGUAACUUCGGGAGAAGGUGCGCCGGCGUAGAUUGUAAGGGCUAGCCCCUGAAGGUUGAACCGGUCGAAGAUACCAGCUGGCUGCAACUGUUUAUUAAAAACACAGCACUCUGCAAACACGAAAGUGGAGGUAUAGGGUGUGAUGCCUGCCCGGUGCUGGAAGGUUAAUUGAUGGUGUAAUCGAAAGAGAAGCACCUGAUCGAAGCCCCAGUAAACGGCGGCCGUAACUAUAACGGUCCUAAGGUAGCGAAAUUCCUUGUCGGGUAAGUUCCGACCUGCACGAAUGGCAUAAUGAUGGCCAGGCUGUCUCCACCCGAGACUCAGUGAAAUUGAAAUCGCCGUGAAGAUGCGGUGUACCCGCGGCUAGACGGAAAGACCCCGUGAACCUUUACUAUAGCUUGACACUGAACAUUGAAUUUUGAUGUGUAGGAUAGGUGGGAGACUAAGAAGUAGGAACGCCAGUUUCUAUGGAGUCAUCCUUGAAAUACCACCCUUUAACGUUUGAUGUUCUAACGAAGAUUACGAAACGUGGUCUCGGACAGUGUCUGGUGGGUAGUUUGACUGGGGCGGUCUCCUCCCAAAGCGUAACGGAGGAGCACGAAGGUUUGCUAAUCACGGU